CAUCAAGCCAUUAGGAUACAACUUACGUCCAGAUGUGGGUAUGGCAAAGAUUAUUUUAAAGUGCAUCGGAACUCACUAUAAUGGUGUGUAUCCGAAUUGGAGUUCGAUUCCACUUAACACCCAAGGGCAGAUGUUCAACGAAUUUAAGAAAUAUUAUGUAUGGGCUCCCGAACACGAGGAUGACGUUCAAGUGAACUUCAAGCUUAAAGCUUCAAAGUUGCUUUCUAGCACAUUUUGUGACUGUC